rnacentral:rRNA from 1 species
CCUACGGGUGGCUGCAGUGAGGAAUAUUGGUCAAUGGCCGAGAGGCUGAACCAGCCAAGUCGCGUGAGGGAAGACGGCCCUACGGGUUGUAAACCUCUUUUGUCGGGGAGCAAAGCGAACCACGUGUGGUUCAUUGAGAGUACCCGAAGAAAAAGCAUCGGCUAACUCCGUGCCAGCAGCCGCGGUAAUACGGAGGAUGCGAGCGUUAUCCGGAUUUAUUGGGUUUAAAGGGUGCGCAGGCGGAGGUGCAAGUCAGCGGUCAAAUUGCGGGGCUCAACCCCGUACUGCCGUUGAAACUGCAUCCCUUGAGUGCGCGAGAAGUAUGCGGAAUGCGUGGUGUAGCGGUGAAAUGCAUAGAUAUCACGAAGAACUCCGAUUGCGAAGGCAGUUCACUGGACUGCAACUGACACUGAGGCUCGAAAGUGUGGGUAUCAAACAGGAUUAGAUACCCUAGUAGUC